AAACUGCGUAUGGCUCGUUACAACAGCCUUAGUUUAUUGGAUCUUAAAGUCCUACAUGGAUAACUGUGGUAAUUCUAGAGCUAAUACACGCAAUUAAACCCUAACCUUACGGGCAGGGUGCAUUUAUUAGAACAAAACCAAUCGGCUUCGGUCGUCAUUGGUGAAUCUGAAUAACUACGCUGAUCGCAUGGUCUCGCACCGGCGACAUAUCCUUCAAGUGUCUGCCUUAUCAACUGUCGAUGGUAGUUUAUAUGACUACCAUGGUUGUAACGGGUAACGGAGAAUAAGGGUUCGACUCCGGAGAGGGAGCCUGAGAAACGGCUACCACAUCCAAGGAAGGCAGCAGGCGCGCAAAUUACCCACUCUCAGAACGAGGAGGUAGUGACGAAAAAUAACGAGACAGUUCUCUAUGAGGUCUGUCAUCGGAAUGGGUACAAUUUAAACCCUUUAACGAGGAUCUAUUGGAGGGCAAGUCUGGUGCCAGCAGCCGCGGUAAUUCCAGCUCCAAUAGCGUAUAUUAAAGUUGUUGCGGUUAAAAAGCUCGUAGUUGGAUCUGCGAUCGCAGUCACAGGUUCCCCUUGUGGGAUACUUGCUGUCUCGAUCUACCUUGUUAGAUUUCUCUUAGUGCUCUUCACUGAGUGCUUUGAGUGUCUAGCUCGUUUACUUUGAAAAAAUUAGAGUGCUUAAAGCAGGCAUAUGCCUGAAUAGUGGUGCAUGGAAUAAUGGAAUAGGACCUCGGUUCUAUUUUGUUGGUUUUCGGAGCGCGAGGUUUUGAUUAAGAGGGACAGACGGGGGCAUUCUGUACUGCUACGCUAGAGGUGAAAUUCUUGGACCCGUAGCAUGACGAACAACUGCGAAAGCAUUUGCCAAGAAUGUUUUCAUUAAUCAAGAACGAAAGUUAGAG
rnacentral:rRNA from 1 species